GAGUAAUGAUGUUUAAACCUAUUCCAUUACUGAAAUACAGUGUGGAAAAGAAAAGGCUGAACUC